rnacentral:rRNA from 1 species
AGCGAACGCUGGCGGCAGGCCUAACACAUGCAAGUCGAACGAACCCUUCGGGGUUAGUGGCGGACGGGUGAGUAACACGUGGGAACGUGCCUUUAGGUUCGGAAUAACUCAGGGAAACUUGUGCUAAUACCGAAUGUGCCCUUCGGGGGAAAGAUUUAUCGCCUUUAGAGCGGCCCGCGUCUGAUUAGCUAGUUGGUGAGGUAAUGGCUCACCAAGGCUACGAUCAGUAGCUGGUCUGAGAGGAUGACCAGCCACAUUGGGACUGAGACACGGCCCAAACUCCUACGGGAGGCAGCAGUGGGGAAUUUUGCGCAAUGGGCGAAAGCCUGACGCAGCCAUGCCGCGUGGAUGAUGAAGGUCUUAGGAUUGUGAAAUCCUUUCACCGGUGAAGAUAAUGACUGUAGCCGGAGAAGAAGCCCCGGCUAACUUCGUGCCAGCCGCCGCAGUAACAC